UACAAUAUUUGACUUUUCGUCUUAUUAAAAAAAAUUUACGAUUAAUAAUUUUAUUUUUAUUAGAUGAUAAAACAUGAAUAAUAUUUUAUGUGUGACUAAUUUUUUUUAAAUUUUUUAAAAAUUUUUAUAUAAGACAGAUGGUCAAACGCUCGACACAAACAACCA
rnacentral:pre_miRNA from 1 species